rnacentral:rRNA from 1 species
AACAGCAGCCAUAUCACCCUGCAGCUCACAACUGGCAACCCACUGAAGCUAAGCAGGUGUGAGCCUGGUCAGUACCUGGAUAAAAGACCUCCUGGGAAAUACUAAGGUUGCUGCUGGAA